CCACAUUGUAGAUUUUCGAGUUAAAGCAAGUAGUUUUAUUGAUUCUCUGCUGCGCCUUGGUUGUCUCUUCGGAGACAUCCGAUAAAAUUGGAACGAUACAGAGAAGAUUAGCAUGGCCCCUGCGCAAGGAUGACACGCAUAAAUCGAGAAAUGGUCCAAAUUUUUUUUCCCCGAUCGUGAACUCGUUCGUCUUCUCGAAGGAUUUCGUUUGAUUGAAACACGGGUUUUAUCUUCCUUUGCGAAGUUGUCUUCCAGUAAAAGAAACAUUGCAUGAGACAGAGGGCAUCGGCAAAAUGGUCCAAAUUUUUUUUCCCCGAUCGUGAACUCGUUCGUCUUCUCGAAGCUUGUGUUGCUUUGGUUGGCUUACCAGGAUUUCGUUUGAUUGAAACACGGGUUUUAUCUUCCUUUGCGAAGUUGUCUUCCAGUAAAAGAAACAUUGCAUGAGACAGAGGGCAUCGGCAAAAUUAGGUUAGCAUUGUCUUGUGCAUUUUUUUUUCUGCUCUAUAAACUUUUGUGGAUUGUCAAUGCCAUUGAAGUCUUUGCCUUUUUCCCUCAGAUCUUGUCAAAUUGGUUUUUGUUUAGAUUUCAACUUUGUUGUUUCAAACUGCUCGUAUUGGUUUUUUCGUUUUAGUAAGCAAAGCAAUGAGCUGAGGCCAGCCCUCAUAACAGAAAUUUGUCAUAAUAUUAGGAAAUUUCCAGUUGCUAUUAGUAUGAUGAAUCAAAACUUCUAUCCUAGCAAUGCUGGGUAGAAAUGAAGAAUGCUCUUUUCUAUUGAAUCUAAUAUGCACGACUAUCUAGUCAAUGUUUACAUACCUAAAUGUGGUUUUCAUCUAUCCCUUUACUUUCUGAAUGUACAACCAAUUGCAAUUCUUCAUUGAUUUAUAGUCGAUUUUCUUAGCUGAUGCUUGUGCUUGACUUAAUUUCUUUAAAAAAACCUCUCAUUAAAGAUGGCACCACAUGGUAACUACGAAGCAAUAUUACCUUGUUGCUUGUAUCUGUACUCAUUUUAGCCUGGAAUUAGUUCUUGGACUAUAGCUUCAUUGCCCCUAUAAUUAUUAUCUUGAUGACAGCAUAGUUUCACUCUCUUAGAGGAAUCAUUUGUGUGGAAAGAAAUUAACAAAUAUCAUGAUUGUAUUGGAUGUGUUAGCUAUAAGUACAAUUAAAGAUACUUGUAUUUCAAUAGGAGAAAAUAUAAUGACUUGAUGCUCAAGAUUGUAUUCUAUUUAGCAAUGGUUUAUAGAAUAGAUUCUAUCAAUGAGAGCCUGAAUCCAUUGCUAUCAUUUUAAUCCAAUUGUAAGUCGAAACCUGUGCAUUUCAUGUUUGCAUAUGAUAUGCUGUGAAUUCAAAAUUGAAUUUUUCGUGAACAAGCUUUAGACUUUUUACAGAGGGAGAUUAAUUAAGAUAAUAAAGGUGGUCUGGUCUUUUGCUUUACACAUUAUCCAGUGCACAUCUAUAUUUCAAAAUACCUUUUCAUCCUUUUCAUGCCAUAUAUAAUGUGUCCAGAUCAUUGCUAUAAUUUUGCUUUCAUCUUUUUGGUCCUACCCUUUUCAUAAGGUUUACAUGGUUCCUAGAGUGUGAGGUUCAAUGGUUCAUGGACCUUUGUAGACUACAAACAUCCAGUUCAGUAGGAGGGGAGAUCUAUCUACUACAAAUGAUAUGCAAUCAUCAUAACAUCUUGGCAAAAGCAACAAAUGUUAUUGAUUGAUGUUUUAGUUUAAUCUGUUUAUCUUAUCAUUGAACAAUAAUUUGCAUGACCAUGUCUAUUGAAUCAAAUUAUGGAUCGUGUGAAACUAAAGAGGAUUUGCUCAAGAUUGAUGAUGUUACACUACCAAUGAGCCAAAAGAUGGUCAUAGAAGGAAAGGAUGAGGGAAGAAGGUACUAUGUCCUAUAUAACGAAUGUUAAGUUGUGUUUGUUCCUACAUUUUGGUAUCAGCUAUAAGGAUCUUAUGAACUUUAUACCUUUGUUAAACAUACUAUGUGUGUCUAUUAGAUUAUUAAAAAAAAAACUUAUUCCCUGUUCUAGAGAAGCACUUGACUUGUUCUUUUUCUUAUGCAGGUCCUCGUGAACCAAGUCUUUUUCUUAUGCAAUUUCCAAUUUUUAUUGAUGUAAAUUUUAAUCAUUCUUCUGGAGCAGAAAAUUGUUGUGGGGAAGAUCCAAUAAUCCAAAGUCUGAAUCAUAUCAACCGAUGAAAAACUCGACAAAGAUAGACGAAAAUCAAUUUUUAGUUUUUGCAAUCAAAAACAAAGAUCUACAUGUUGAACCUUCUGUUCAAAAGGAUCCUUCAGCAUCUUCUUGUAUUAGCAUUUCUGCAAAACUAAGUGUGAAGCACGACUCUAGUUGGUCUUCACUAUUCAGUUUCGGAGGAGCAAGGAGUCCCCAAAAGCUUCUGUCGGAAAUACAUGAAAAUGUUUGAGAAAAUAAAGAGAUCUUGUAAAGAAAAUCUGAUUUUAAGAGGCGAUAAUAAGAUUUUGAUUUUAUCAUAAUGAUUGUAUACACUCUAGUUUAUAUUUGGUUUCCUAAUUCUCAUCGGUUGUUUGCGUAGGUAAACAAUCUUGAAUUAUUUGGCAUGAUCUUUCA